rnacentral:rRNA from 1 species
GCUGCAUGAAGCUGGAAUCGCUAGUAAUCGCGGAUCAGAAUGCCGCGGUGAAUACGUUCCCGGGUCUUGUACACACCGCCCGUCACACCAUGGGAGCCGGAAACGCCCGAAGCCAGCGGCCCAACCGCAAGGAGGGAGCUGUCGAAGGCAGGUCUGAUAACUGGGGUGAAGUCGUAACAAGGUACC